AUUAGAUACCCUGGUAGUCCACGCAGUAAACGAUGAAUACUAGCUGUCCGGGGCGAAUGAGCCCUGGGUGGCACAGCGAAAGCGUUAAGUAUUCCACCUGGGGAGUACGCCGGCAACGGUGAAACUCAAAGGAAUUGACGGGGGCCCGCACAAGCGGAGGAACAUGUGGUUUAAUUCGAUGAUACGCGAGGAACCUUACCCGGGCUCAAACGACACAGGAACGGUCCUGAAAGGGGUCGGCUCUACGGAGCCUGUGUCGAGGUGCUGCAUGGUUGUCGUCAGCUCGUGCCGUGAGGUGUCGGCUUAAGUGCCAUAACGAGCGCAACCCUUGCCGUCAGUUGCCAUCAAGCGAAGUUGGGGACUCUGGCGGGACUGCCACCGCAAGGUGCGAGGAAGGGGGGGAUGACGUCAAAUCAGCACGGCCCUUACGUCCGGGGCGACACACGUGUUACAAUGGCAGGUACAGAGGGAUGCUACCGGGCGACCGGAUGCGGAUCUCGAAAGCCUGUCCCAGUUCGGACUGGAGUCUGCAACCCGACUCCACGAAGUUGGAUUCGCUAGUAAUCGCGCAUCAGCCAUGGCGCGGUGAAUACGUUCCCGGGCCUUGUACACACCGCCCGUCAAGCCAUGGGAGCCGGGGGCGCCUGAAGUCCGGGACCGCGAGGACCGGCCUAGGGCGAAACUGGUAACUGGGGCUAAGUCGUAACAAGGUACC
rnacentral:rRNA from 1 species